rnacentral:tRNA from 1 species
GGGCUGGGGCUCAGUGGGAGAGUGCUUGCCUCUCACACAUGAGGCACUGGGUUCGAUCCUCAGCACCACA